GGAUGUCACGUGACAUUUAAAAGAACGUGAGGAAGGUGAUCAAACCUAAGGUUCAAUGAUAGCUUAAGAGCAAGACAUCGCUUAAAACCUUGAGACCACUUGGUCUUGACGGAACCACAACUCCGACGACAUGGCUACACCAACCGCUGACGCACAGCUCACUGCGGUAUAGAUCCACAACCGGUGGUGGUGAACGGAAACGAACUCGGCAACGCUCCUGCUUGGUCGCUCCUUCUUCCAUAUACAAAUGUAUCAACAAUCAUAGAAGAAGAAGAAAGGUGGGAAUGAAGAAGAAACAAAGAGAACGUGAGGGAAGAGAAGAAGAGAAAGACAUGGGUGGUGCAAGCAACGAC
rnacentral:lncRNA from 1 species